UUGGAGGGCAAGUCUGGUGCCAGCAGCCGCGGUAAUUCCAGCUCCAAUAGCGUAUAUUAAAGUUGUUGUGGUUAAAAAGCUCGUAGUUGAACCUUGGGCCUGGCUGGCCGGUCCGCCUCACCGCGUGCACUGGUCCGGCCGGGCCUUUCCCUCUGUGGAACCCCAUGCCCUUCACUGGGCGUGGCGGGGAAACAGGACUUUUACUUUGAAAAAAUUAGAGUGCUCCAGGCAGGCCUAUGCUCGAAUACAUUAGCAUGGAAUAAUAAAAUAGGACGUGCGGUUCUAUUUAGUUGGUUUCUAGGACCGCCGUAAUGAUUAAUAGGGACAGUCGGGGGCAUCAGUAUUCAAUUGUCAGAGGUGAAAUUCUUGGAUUUAUUGAAGACUAACUACUGCGAAAGCAUUUGCCAAGGAUGUUUUCAUUAAUCAGGAACGAAAGUUAGGGGAUCGAAGACGAUCAGAUACCGUCGUAGUCUUAACCGUAUAUGAUUUGGUAGGGUUCAUGUUUGUGUGCGGAAUGAAUA
rnacentral:rRNA from 1 species